GACGAACGCUGGCGGCGUGCUUAACACAUGCAAGUCGAACGGAAAGGCCCUGCUUGCAGGGUGCUCGAGUGGCGAACGGGUGAGUAACACGUGGGUGAUCUGCCCCUUACUUUGGGAUAAGCCUGGGAAACUGGGUCUAAUACUGGAUAGGACCAUGCUGUAGGUGGUGUGGUGGAAAGAUUAGUUUCGGUAAGGGAUGAGCUCGCGGCCUAUCAGCUUGUUGGUGGGGUAAUGGCCUACCAAGGCGUCGACGGGUAGCCGGCCUGAGAGGGUGGACGGCCACAUUGGGACUGAGAUACGGCCCAGACUCCUACGGGAGGCAGCAGUGGGGAAUAUUGCACAAUGGGCGCAAGCCUGAUGCAGCGACGCCGCGUGGGGGAUGACGGCCUUCGGGUUGUAAACUCCUUUCAGCCAUGACGAAGCCCUUGUGGUGACGGUAGUGGUAGAAGAAGCACCGGCUAACUACG
rnacentral:rRNA from 1 species